CCUACGGGAGGCAGCAGUGAGGAAUAUUGCUCAAUGGGAGGAAUCCUGAACCAGCCAUGCCGCGUGCGGGACGACGGCUCUACGAGUUGUAAACUGCUUUUGUACCGGGGUAAAAUGCUCUACGUGUAGGGUUUUGCAAGUACGGUACGAAUAAGGCUCGGCUAACUCCGUGCCAGCAGCCGCGGUAAUACGGAGGAUCCGAGCGUUAUCCGGAUUUAGUGGGUUUAACGGGUGCGUAGGGUGUUUUCAAAGUUAGCGGUGAAAUCCCGAGGCUAAACAUCGGGGCGGCCGCUGAGACUGUAGGACUAGGGAUCGGAGGCAGCAGGCGGAAUGUGGAGUGUAGCGGUGAAA
rnacentral:rRNA from 1 species